rnacentral:rRNA from 1 species
UACGUAGGGGGGCAAGCGUUGUCCGGAAUCAUUGGGCGUAAAGCGCGUGUAGGCGGCUCGAUAAGUCCGCUCUGAAAGUCCAGGGCUCAACCCUGGGAUGCGGGUGGAUACUGUCGGGCUCGAGUCCGGAAGAGGCGAGUGGAAUUCCUGGUGUAGCGGUGAAAUGCGCAGAUAUCAGGAGGAACACCAGUGGCGAAGGCGGUGGUCUGGGCCGAUACUGACGCUGUAGAGCGAAAGCGUGGGGAGCGAACAGG